UGUAGGGCAAGUGCUUAACACCAGGCAUAUUAUGCUUAGGAAAGUCCACCCACCAGCUCAUUAUGAGCAACAUAACCGCUGCUGAGAGGCAGGUGCUGAAAAGUGCGCUCCAGCGAAGAAACAACACGGCCUUUAAUCAAGGAUGAAAUGGCGAAUCAACCAGCAAUGGUUGAGAGUUAACCUAUGGAUGUCGGUUAAAGGAUACGGUGAGACAGCUGCCCGGUUGGUGCAAGCCUUUGGCGCUUAGUCGAAUGUUAAGGCAAACCUUCCGUAAGGGGUUUGACAGAAGGUGGCUUAUCUUUGCCCUACA
rnacentral:RNase_P_RNA from 1 species